GUAUGUGGUAUAAAUAACUUUAAGUGGUAUACAUGAUUAGCACGUGAUCAAUGAAUCAAGCAAGCUCUGAUACCAUUCUAAGUUUUUAAUAAUAUAGAUCUACUACUAUAUAGUCCGAACACACACACUAUAUAUAUAAAUAGUAGAGCUACUAUACUAUUGGAAGUAUAGAGGAUCUGGUACUUCUGAUUUUUUAGCCCUUAAAUCAGUCCUUUUAAUCAUUUCUAACUUUUAGAUUAAUACUAUUAUUCUGUGGGGACCACUCAAUCCUAGAGAUACUAUUCAAUCCUAAGGAGGAUCGUAAUCAUCCCAACUGUGUAAUUCUUGAUCCAAGGGUCAAAAAAUUCGGAAGCAUCAAAUGUUUUAUACUUUCGAUAGUAUAGUAACUUUACACUAUAUAUAUAUAUAUAUAUAUAUAUAUAUAUAUAUAUAUAUAUAUAUAUAUAUAUAUAUAUAUAUAUAUAUAUAUAUAUUUGAGCUAGAAUACUCUCGAUAGUAUAUAUAUACAUAUAUAUAUACAUAUAUAUAUAUAUAUAUAUAUACAUAUAUAUAUAUAUAUACAUAUAUAUAUAUAUACAUAUAUAUAUGUAGAGUCCGGCUAGAAUACUAUCGAUAGCACCAAGGAUUUGGUGCUAUCGAGUUUUCCACCGCUAGAUUUAACCUUUUAAUUAUUUUUACCCGUUAGAUUAUAUUAUUCAACCAACCACCCACUCAACCUUAGGAGGCCCUCAUCAUCCUAACCGCACAUUUUUUUAUUCAAAAGCUAAAAAACUAAUGGCACCAAUAGUUUGGUGCUAUUAGUAGUAUUCAACCUAGUUAGUAAAUUCACGAAUUAUUUGCGAAUUAUUCGCGAAUUAUUGAAAAUCAGAAUUAAACGGCCCGUUUACGAAUUUUUCCGAAAGAAAGAGAAUUAUUCGCGAAUUUUUCGGCCAGCCAAAUUCUUCGCGAAUAAUUCACGAAUUAUUGCCGAAUUAUUAAAAAUAUGAAUAAAAAACUUAUAAUUUUAUUUUUAAAUAUAAAUUAUUUUAUAUUUUAUAUUUUAUAUUUUAUAUUUUAUGCCGAAUUUGUUUUUUAAGCCGAAUUUUUCAAUGAAUUUAAAAANAGUAUUCUAGCUCAACUCUAUAUAUAUAUAUAUAUAUAUAGAGAGUCCGGCUGCUAUACUAUUAUGAGUACGAUCGCCCUUGUACUUAUAAGUUGUUUUCGAUGAUAGAGUUUUCGAAUCGACGAUCCGCACCGUUAAAUGUUAUCUAGAGCAUUUGAAACAUCUAGAAAUUAAAUUUCAUUAGUUUUCGACAUCAUUUACUUUAUGAUCAAAAGCUCACAAAAUUGACAAUUUUUAAUGGCCGGUAUGGAAUACUUGCUAGUUUUACGGUGUAAAAGAAUCCGAAUAGAUUGAAUUUUUGAUAGAAAAUUCUAUUCACUACCUAUUGAUAAAGAUCAAUAACUUCGAUCUUAAAUUAAAUGAUUCGAUCAUCCAUUUUUAAGACAUCGUUCGAUUUUGACCGUUCAUUUUAUGCCCGUUUGAUGGACUUUAUUAUGAUUUUGAAAAAUUACUAAAUUUAUUUU
rnacentral:lncRNA from 1 species